AGCUAGAUGGUAAGGUAACGGCUUACCAUGGCAAUGAUGGCUAGGGGUUCUGCAAGGAAGAUCCCCCACACUGGUACUGAGACACGGACCAGACUCCUACGGGAGGCAGCAGUGAGGAAUAUUGGUCAAUGGAGGCAACUCUGAACCAGCCAAGCCGCGUGAAGGAAGACUGUUCUAUGAAUUGUAAACUUCUUUUGUGACAGAGUAAAGAUAGCUGCGCGUAGUUAUUUGCAAGUAUGUCAUGAAUAAGCAUCGGCUAACUCCGUGCCAGCAGCCGCGGUAAUACGGAGGAUGCAGGCGUUAUCCGGAUUUAUUAGGUUUAAAGGGUGUUCAGGCUGUCUGGUAAGUCAGAGGUGAAAGUCGGUUGCUUAACGAUCGAAUUGCCUUUGAAACUGUCAGACUUGAGUAUGGAUGUGGUAGGCGGAAUGUGUAGUGUAGCGGUGAAAUGCAUAGAUAUUACACAGAACUCCAAUUGCGAAAGCAGCUUACCAAACCAGCACUGACGCUGAAGCACGAAAGCGUGGGUAGCGAACAGGAUUAGAUACCCUGGUAGUCCACGCAGUAAACGAUGCUCACUCGCUGUUGGCAAUACACCGUCAGCGGCUAAGGGAAACCGAUAAGUGAGCCACCUGGGGAGUACGAUCGCAAGAUUGAAACUCAAAGGAAUUGACGGGGGCCCGCACAAGCGGUGGAACAUGUGGUUUAAUUCGAUGAUACGCGAGGAACCUUACCUGGGCUUAAAUGUGAAGUGCAUUGUUUGGAAACAGACAUUUCCUUCGGGACUCUUUACAAGGUGCUGCAUGGUUGUCGUCAGCUCGUGCCGUGAGGUGUCGGGUUAAGUCCCAUAACGAGCGCAACCCCUAUUGUUAGUUACCAGCGCGUCAAGGCGGGGACUCUAACGAGACUGCCGGUGUAAACCGCGAGGAAGGUGGGGAUGACGUCAAAUCAGCACGGCCCUUAUGUCCAGGGCUACACACGUGUUACAAUGGUCGGUACAGAGGGCAGCUAGGCAGCGAUGUCAAGCGAAUCUCGAAAGCCGAUCCCAGUUCGGAUUGGAGUCUGCAACCCGACUCCAUGAAGGUGGAAUCGCUAGUAAUCGCGCAUCAGCCAUGGCGCGGUGAUACGUUCCCGGGCCUUGUACACACCGCCCGUCAAGCCAUGGAAGUCUGGGGUGCCUGAAGGCCGUAACCGCAAGGA
rnacentral:rRNA from 1 species